rnacentral:rRNA from 1 species
AGUGAACGCUGGCGGUAGGCCUAACACAUGCAAGUCGAACGGCAGCACAGGAGAGCUUGCUCUCUGGGUGGCGAGUGGCGGACGGGUGAGGAAUACAUCGGAAUCUACACUGUCGUGGGGGAUAACGUAGGGAAACUUACGCUAAUACCGCAUACGACCUACGGGUGAAAGCAGGGGACCUUCGGGCCUUGCGCGAUUGAAUGAGCCGAUGUCGGAUUAGCUAGUUGGCGGGGUAAAGGGCCACCAAGGCGACGAUCCGUAGCUGGUCUGAGAGGAUGAUCAGCCACACUGGAACUGAGACACGGUCCAGACUCCUACGGGAGGCAGCAGUGGGGAAUAUUGGACAAUGGGCGCAAGCCUGAUCCAGCCAUACCGCGUGGGUGAAGAAGGCCUUCGGGUUGUAAAGCCCUUUUGUUGGGAAAGAAAUCCAGCUGGCUAAUACCCGGUUGGGAUGACGGUACCCAAAGAAUAAGCACCGGCUAACUUCGUGCCAGCCGCCGCGGUAA